rnacentral:lncRNA from 7 species
AGACUUCUGUGAGGCAAGUUAAGGACAUAGGAUUUGCAUAGAAUGAGACUGACAAGGCCAUGAAGCAUCUAAUCAGCUUGUCAGCUGCAUCCUGCAGGGCUCUGUAAUCUGCAGUGAACCAUGCACUGAAUUUCUGCCUCUGCAGUAUGAGACUGAGAGGAAGAAUGCAUGGAGUGAUACCCCAGAUGCAGUGUGGGAGUGUUUGCUGAGCUACACCAGACUACACCAGAAAGAGAGGAAAAUUCUCUUUACACUGGAUAACUUAAAACUGCACUGAUUCCAAGAAACUGCAUUGACUCCAAGAACUGAUGAAGGAACUUGACAAGUAUCAUGUAAACGUCUCCUGGCACAGAGAUAUGACUUGGCCUAAGAGAUACCCUUCAUGACUGUUGUCUAAUACCAACAUGUUUUAAAUGGCAGCCUUAUGUCUAGCAUUGCUUUUGGCCUUUCUCCUCCUCACAUCCUCAUAGCCUUAGCAAUGUCUAGCUGUGGGUAUUCCUCCAACCCCAUAUCAUCCACUCUUUAAAUUGAAUUGGAAGAUUUGGACGCUUUUCUUUCAUUAAAAUGUAAAACAAACAAAAGAAAAAAAUUGAAACAACAACAACAAAACAAACAAACAAACAAAAAAACCAACCCACAAACAAAACCAAAACAAAACAGAACACAGGUUGAACUAUGACAGCACACACGUCAGUGCAACCCAGGCUCAGGUCUUUCUGGCAGAUACCUGGCAAGGAGUGCGCAAGUAUGACAAUGGUGCAGUGGUAUUCUGCUGUAACACCAUCCUGCCCUUGUGCUGUGCUCUGUAAGGGAUGUAGGCUUUGUGACUGCUUGGCUCAGUGCACAGACAGUGUUUCAUGAUCUUGAAAGUUUUACCAAAUUAACAAUCUUUACUGAAGCAUAGAUGUAGCGGAGCCUCAUCCAACACUAUGAAUAGGAUAAACAUGCUGGGUUACAUUCAUUUUGCACUUCAUAUUUGUAUAUAAAUCUAAAAUAACUCUGUAAAAACAUGAAAAGUAAGUUUGCACAGUGAAGGCAAAAGGAUGCACUGGUCAGGAUGCGCUCACUUUUUAGGCUUUCAGAUGAGGUAUCUUAAAUAGGAGCUUAAUUCCUCCAGGUGCUCUUCUCAAAGGAAAUACAGAUGUCUUCCACAUAAAGGAUCAGCUUUGUAUAGAAAAGGUCACCGAAGUUACUCCAAUUAUGUUUUCUAAGAAUUAUGGUUUAUCUGUCAUUUGCUACAAAUUGUCUCAUUGUCUUCCUGCCUCUGAACACCUCAACUGCUGAAUUUCUUAAAAAAAUAAAUAAAUAAAAUGAAAUUGCAC